GCUGAAAUUUAAGCAUAUCAGUAAGUGGAGGAAAAGAAACUAACUAGGAUUACCUCAGUAGCGGCGAGUGAACCGGUAAAAGCUCAUAUUGAAAAUCGCGCAAGCGAAUUGUAAUCUAUAGAACUCCUCUGAAGGCGGAGUCUUGGCAGAAGUCAUUGAAAAGUGACAGCAGAGAGGGUGAUACUCCCGUACUCGGCCAGGACAAGCAAUAGGAAGGGAUUCAAAGAGUCGCGUUGCUUGGGAUUGCAGCGCUAAUUGGGAGAUAAACUUCUUCUAAAGCUAAAUAUUUAUGGGAAACCGAUAGCGAACAAGUACUGUGAAGGAAAGAUGAAAAGAACUUUGAAAAGAGGGUUAAAAGACUUGAAAUUGUUGAAAAGGAAGCGGUUGGAGAGAAUUAUUGGCUGCGCGUGGACUAAAGGUUCUUUCGUAGUCAGUAGGCAAAUUGGGGUGUUUUUGCAGGAUUCAAUUUUUGGGAAGAUUUCCUGGGAAUAAAGCUGCAGAGGCGCCCGAGGGAGCGAUGCUGAAUUUGCCGAAACAGCUUCAACUGACCCGUCUUGAAACAGGGACCAAGGA
rnacentral:rRNA from 1 species